rnacentral:lncRNA from 1 species
UUUGAAGAUGGCAACCACCAAAAUACUCUGACCUGUGUCAAGCUGCAGCGGCAAGUGAUGUCAUAGACAGGGCCUUUUGAACACCUGCUAAUGUUUUUAUAAAUGUAUGGUUUAAUGUAACUGUGCAACAACGUUGCAAUUAAAUGUGCUAUGUAAAUGAUAACAGUUACUCGCCCACUCCAGUUGUAGACUACUGGUGGAGGCAAGAACACUUCACACAAUUUCACCAGAAAUUGUAGCUUUUCUAGUUAAGUGUUCUUGCAUAGCAAGACCACUUAAUGUUAUCUCACAUAUAUAUUAUUAUUAUUCUUAUUAUAGCAAAAUUUGCCACCCUAACUCCUCCCACAGUUUUUACACUACAUAGACAAAAAUUUACCAAAACGUGCAGAUUGUUUCCGAUCGGAUUGCUAUUACUUUGUGGAACGUUUCGCCGAAUGGUUCACGGAAUAUCGUCGUUCUUGUGGCGAGAUUUGUCCCAUAGGAAUGAAUGGCAAAGCUAGAGUGGUAGCUGCCAAAAGCUGAAAAAUCAGGACAUGAUUUCUAAACUGCCACCACUCCCUCAUUUUCAAGCCCAGCUACACAAAUCUUAUAUCAAAACGUUCAGCUAUCCCUGCUGCCACUAAACAUGUAAACGGCUAAGCCGUAGUCCUGAUAGUUUUCACAAUAUGACCAUUUGUUUGCAACCAACGCCGUCCAUUGACAUUCAUUGAAACUUCACUCUGCAAAGCUCAAAUUUGAAGUGUAAUUUCUAAACUGUGACUGUGCCUUCAUUUUUAAUACUUCAGAGACAUACUAUGCAUCAAAAUGUAGGUCUGGGUCUUGUGAUUCUCACAAUAUAAAGCUCUUCGCUGUAGGAUGUAUAGUUUUUAAGAUACGACCGUUUGAAGAUGGCAACAGCCAAAAUACUCUGACCUGUGUCAAGCUGCAGCAGCAAGUGAUGUCAUAGACAAGGCCUUUUGAACACCUGCUAAUGUUUUAUAAAUGUAUGGUUUAAUGUAACUGUGCAACAACGUUGCAAUUAAAUGUGCUAUGUAAAUGAUAACAGUUACUCCGCCCACUCCAGUUGUAGACUACAGGUGGAGGCAAGAACACUUCACACAAUUUCCCCAGAAAUUGUAGCUUUUCUAGUUAUUUCCUUGUAAUGUCCCUUUGUUGGUCUCUGGUCUCCCACUUCCAAAAACAAAUUUCCCAGAAUACUACAGUGAUGGCCUACCAUUAGAUACAUUUGCACAUUACAAACUGCAAUCAUGGCAUUUAGCCCAUACAAGAACUCUACAAAACAGUGUAUGGAAGUAGGUCUGGCCAGCGUGGGUGCCAACUAGCCUGGUGUGUAUGGCUCUAACCCACCACUUUCUUUCAGGUAAUCCUGCCUCUAUGGUAUCCCCAAAGAGACACAUGCAAUCACUGGUUGGCCUUGCCAAACUUUUGGUCUAAGGUUCAAACCUUCCAAUAUUGGGGAUAUGUGAUGCCCCCAAUUGCUUCUGCAACUACCAACUGCUUCUACGUGUUCAUCCUAUAGUUGAUGAAAAGCAAACCAAAGUGCCUAUUUAUGGAAACGUAUUGUAGUAAAUGGUACUGUUCAUUCUUUUUCUACUAUGGAAACUACAAAGUCUGCUUUUUUAUACGUAUUUAGUAACUUUUUUCUAUCUAUCUAUCUUUAAUAUAUAUGUGUGUUUGUGUGUAUAUGUAUAUAUGAACAAAAUCUACGAAAAUGAAAAAAUGGUGUAGGGAAAAUGUUUACUAUUUUUAUAUGUAUUUCUGGAAUCUACAGAAAACCAACUGUUUUCCUUUUUUAUGACUAGUUACUUGUGAGAGUCUGGGGCAGUUUAUGCUUGUUUCUGUUUUUGGAAAAAAUGCAUCGGGUAAUUUCUUUGUGAGUUCUACAGAGAUUUUAAUCCAAAGUAUACGAACAGAAUUAGCUUCUUGUUAAUAUUAUGGUUCAGACAGUAAUUUCAAGUGUUUUGUAGUAAACUGGACUGUAUUUCCCAAAUUAGAGAUUGAUAAUGUAAGUACUUAACAUAGAUGGAAAUAAGUGAGGUCUCUUAAUUUUACAAGGGAUCAAGUGGAAACUUUAUCUUGGAAUUUAUGAACUUGUAAAUUAACUACCGGUAAAUAAUGUUAAAGUAAAAAAAAAAACUAAACAAAACACAAAACUUUAGUGGAUCAAGUGAAACUACUGAUUUUAGGCUUCAUAACUCCAAAUGGAGAAACAAAGGAAAACAAAAUAUACUAGAGGUAUAGAUUUAAAAACUUUUUUUUAUGUGAUGAAUACAUUUUUUUUCUCAUCUUAAACCAUGCUCAUUACACAUAUCAAUAAGGUGAUUUUUUUCAUUUUGAUUUUCUCCCUUGCACAAACCGUAUGUAUAGUUUCCUGGGCAAUCAAGGACCUUUCAUAUAUCUCAUUUAAUGCUGCCUUAGUUGAGUGCUGUAUAUAGUAUUAUUUUUUUUGCUUAAUGACAAACUGUAAUACAGUAGUGUAUAAUUUGUGCAGUGCUGGACUUUAUCAAACUGUUUGAAGUUGUGUUAUAACAUUAACUGUUGCUUACAAAGCACAAUGCAAAAAUGUUGGAUUUUUUUGCAAAUGAGCCUAAUAAAGUCUUUAAAAAAAUA